rnacentral:rRNA from 1 species
CCUACGGGUGGCUGCAGUAGGGAAUAUUGCUCAAUGGGGGAAACCCUGAAGCAGCAACGCCGCGUGGAGGAUGACGGUUCUCGGAUUGUUAACUCCUUUUGUUAGAGAAGAUACUGACGGUAUCUAACGCAUAAGCACCGGCUAACUCCGUGCCAGCAGCCGCGGUAAUACGGCGGGUGCAAGCGUUACUCGGAAUCACUGGGCGUAAAGAGCGCGUAGGCGGGAAAGCAAGUCAGAUGUGAAAUCCUAGGGCUUAACCAUAGAACUGCAGUUGAAACUGUUGUUCUAGAGUAUGGGAGAGGUAGGUGGAAUGCUUGGUGUAGGGGUAAAAUGCGUAGAGAUCAAGAAGAAUACUCAUUGCGAAGGCGGCAUGCUGGAGCAUAACUGACGCUGAUGCGCGAAAGCGUGGGGAGCGAACAGGAUUAGUUACCCGUGUAGUC